rnacentral:rRNA from 1 species
UUUAUGGAGAGUUUGAUCCUGGCUCAGGAUGAACGCUGGCGGCGUGCCUAAUACAUGCAAGUCGAGCGAACAGACGAGGAGCUUGCUUCUCUGACGUUAGCGGCGGACGGGUGAGUAACACGUGGAUAACCUACCUAUAAGACUGGGAUAACUUCGGGAAACCGGAGCUAAUACCGGAUAAUAUAUUGAACCGCAUGGUUCAAUAGUGAAAGACG